AAAAUCCAGGAAAGACAUAUAAAACCACCCAUGGUCAUCAGACCUGUAAUGCGACUCUGAAACAAAACACUUUAACAGUUUAUGUGCAAGUGGAGAAAUACACAGCUCAAAUCUGGACAGCCAGCUCCGGAGGCCAUGCCAGAACGAAAUAUCAAGCAGAAACUGCAUGGAGAAGAGAAAAAUGCAGCCCUGUCUGAGCAAGAGGGGAAUGCAGAUAAAUGCCACUCUCAGAGAGAAAGCAAAGGGGGAAAUAUGGACACCAUGUCUGAGACCUGGAGGAAUUGAAAUGAAAGUUAAAGAGGCUUUGAAAGAGACCAGAGCUAUCAGCCUGGGGAAAGCUUUGCUUCAGGAAAGUUAGUGGAAGCAUAAAGCAUGUCAAGAAUUAAAACUAUCUCCA
rnacentral:lncRNA from 1 species